rnacentral:rRNA from 1 species
GACGAACGCUGGCGGCGUGCUUAACACAUGCAAGUCGAACGAAGAGCGAUGGAAGCUUGCUUCUAUCAAUCUUAGUGGCGAACGGGUGAGUAACGCGUAAUCAACCUGCCCUUCGGAGGGAGACAACAGUUGGAAACGACUGCUAAUACCGCAUACGAUCCAACCUCGGCAUCGAGGAUGGAUGAAAGGUGGCCUCUAUUUAUAAGCUAUCACUGAAGGAGGGGAUUGCGUCUGAUUAGCUAGUUGGAGGGGUAACGGCCCACCAAGGCAAUGAUCAGUAGCCGGUCUGAGAGGAUGAACGGCCACAUUGGGACUGAGACACGGCCCAGACUCCUACGGGAGGCAGCAGUGGGGAAUCUUCCGCAAUGGACGAAAGUCUGACGGAGCAACGCCGCGUGAGUGAUGACGGCCUUCGGAUUGUAAAGCUCUGUUAAUCGGGACGAAAGGUCCUCUUGCGAAUAGUUAGAGGAAUUGACGAUACCGGAAUAGAAAGCCACGGCUAACUACGUGC